UAGCUCAGUCGGUAGAGCAUGAGAUUCUUAAUCUCAGGUUCGUGGGUUCGUGUCCCAC
rnacentral:tRNA from 1 species